rnacentral:rRNA from 1 species
AAGCUCGUAGUUGAAUUUCGGGGUUCUACCGUUGGUCGGGCAAUAGUCUGUACUGGCGUGUAGAAUUUCUACCUUCUGGGGAACUAUCAUGUUAUUUAUUUAGCGUGGUAGGAAACCAGGACCUUUACCUUGAAAAAAAUUAGAGUGUUCAAAGCAGGCUUACGUCUGAAUACAUUAGCAUGGAAUAAUAAAAUAGGACGGUGGUCCUGUUUUGUUGGUUUCUGAAUCACCGUAAUGAUUAAUAGGGAUAGUUGGG